rnacentral:rRNA from 1 species
GACGAACGCUGGCGGCGUGCCUAAUACAUGCAAGUCGUGCGAAUCAGUGGGAGCUUGCUCCCUGAGAUUAGCGGCGGACGGGUGAGUAACACGUGGGUAACCUGCCUGUAAGACUGGGAUAACUUCGGGAAACCGGAGCUAAUACCGGAUACGUUCUUUUCUCGCAUGAGGAGAGAUGGAUAGAUGGUUCUGCUAUCACUUACAGAUGGACCCGCGGCGCAUUAGCUAGUUGGUGAGGUAACGGCUCACCAAGGCGACGAUGCGUAGCCGACCGGAGAGGGUGAUCGGCCACACUGGGACUGAGACACGGCCCAGACUCCUACGGGAGGCAGCAGUAGGGAAUCUUCCGCAAUAGACGAAAGUCUGACGGAGCAACGCCGCGUGAGCGAAGAAGGCCUUCGGGUCGUAAAGCUCUGUUGUUAGGGAAGAACAAGUACGAGAGUAACUGCUCGUACCUUGACGGUACCUAACCAGAAAGCCACGGCUAACUACGUGCCAGCCGCCGCCGUAA